UUCUUAUCUGGAGCAUGAACAAACCAGAUCGUUCUGGUGAUGAUUUCCAUAGUCCAAGAGGAGGUCCACGCGUUGCUGCUACUACUGCAUCAAGGUGGUCGGUGGAUUCGUCCUGCUCAUCCUGAUAGCAUCAGUCUUCACGGUGCUGUGGUAUUUUCUAGCAGCUAACUUCAGCCCAAAAUAUCCCUGGGCAGGCUGAAGGAAUUAAAACCAGUCGAUAUUUCAUGGGCUCAUUCCAGCUGGUGAAUGAAAUCUACUAUUCCCGUCACAGCGACUCUGCUUCGGACACAUUCAAGAGGGAGGUUGCGAAGCUGGAGAACGUGGGCUUUGUCGGUAAAUAAAAGGCUAAUAAGAGGCAGGAAAAGUACAAGUCAACUUCGUUUCCCAAAGACACUGAUCCUUCUCACAGUGCUGCUGGGAGGAGCAUUAGCAGAA